CCUACGGGAGGCAGCAGUGAGGAAUAUUGGACAAUGGGUGCAAGCCUGAUCCAGCCAUCCCGCGUGAAGGACUAAGGCCCUAUGGGUUGUAAACUUCUUUUAUACAGGGAUAAACCUACUUACGUGUAAGUAGCUGAAGGUACUGUAUGAAUAAGCACCGGCUAACUCCGUGCCAGCAGCCGCGGUAAUACGGAGGGUGCAAGCGUUAUCCGGAUUUAUUGGGUUUAAAGGGUCCGUAGGCGGAUCCGUAAGUCAGUGGUGAAAUCUCAUAGCUUAACUAUGAAACUGCCAUUGAUACUGCGGGUCUUGAGUGAGAUUGAGGUAGCUGGAAUAAGUAGUGUAGCGGUGAAAUGCAUAGAUAUUACUUAGAACACCAAUUGCGAAGGCAGGUUACCAAGUCUUAACUGACGCUGAUGGACGAAAGCGUGGGGAACGAACAGGAUUAGAUACCCUGGUAGUCCACGCCGUAAACGAUGCUAACUCGUUUUGGGGCCUUGCGCUUCUGAGACUAGACGAAGUAGAUAAGUUAGCCGACCGUCGGGUAGGUACGUUCGUCGAGAAGUAAGUAACGUACUUAAGUUAGUAAGUUAGUUACGGUCGUUGAGAGUGCGACGGACGACGACGAGGGAGGAGG
rnacentral:rRNA from 1 species